UGAGCCGUCGUGGAGGCAUCGGAAGUGCGAAUGCUGACAUGAGUAACGAUAAUGCGGGUGAAAAACCCGCACGCCGAAAGCCCAAGGUUUCCUUGCGCAACGUUAAUCGACGCAGGGUUAGUCGGCCCCUAAGGCGAGGGCGAAAGCCGUAGUCGAUGGGAAGCAGGUUAAUAUUCCUGCACCUCGCGUAAGUGCGAUGGAGGGACGGAGAAGGUUAGGCAAGCCAGGCGUUGGUUGUCCUGGUGAGAGAACUGAGGCAGAACCCUUUGGCAAAUCCGGGGGUUUAAUGUUGAGGUUAAGGACCGGUCCAUUAGGACUAGGUUGCCGAUAUCACGCUUCCAGGAAAAGCUCCUAAGCUUCAGCUUACGCAGACCGUACCGUAAACCGACACAGGUGGGUAGGAUGAGAAUUCUCAGGCGCUUGAGAGAACUCGGGUGAAGGAACUAGGCAAAAUAGCACCGUAACUUCGGGAGAAGGUGCGCCUCUUCUGGUUAAUAGCUGGGGGAGGCCGAAGUGACCAGGCCGCUGCGACUGUUUAUCAAAAACACAGCACUCUGCAAA
rnacentral:rRNA from 1 species